UACGAAGGGGGCUAGCGUUGUUCGGAUUUACUGGGCGUAAAGCGCACGUAGGCGGUUUGUUAAGUCAGAGGUGAAAUCCCGGAGCUCAACUCCGGAACUGCCUUUGAUACUGGCAAGCUCGAGUCCGGAAGAGGUAAGUGGAACUCCUAGUGUAGAGGUGGAAUUCGUAGAUAUUAGGAAGAACACCAGUGGCGAAGGCGGCUUACUGGUCCGGAACUGACGCUGAGGUGCGAAAGCGUGGGGAGCAAACAGG
rnacentral:rRNA from 1 species